AUUGAACGCUGGCGGCAUGCUUUACACAUGCAAGUCGAACGGUAACAGGUUAAGCUGACGAGUGGCGAACGGGUGAGUAAUGCAUCGGAACGUGCCCGGUCGUGGGGGAUAACGCAGCGAAGGCUGCGCUAAUACCGCAUACGAUCUAAGGAUGAAAGCGGGGGACCGUAAGGCCUCGCGCGAUCGGAGCGGCCGAUGUCAGAUUAGGUAGUUGGUGGGGUAAAGGCUCACCAAGCCAACGAGCUGUAGCUGGUCUGAGAGGACGACCAGCCAGACUGGGCCUGCGACACGGCCCAGACUCCUACGGGAGGCAGCAGUGGGGAAUUUUGGACAAUGGGCGAAAGCCUGAUCCAGCAAGGCCGCGGGCAGGAAGAAGGCCUUCGGGUUGUAAACUGCUUUUGUACGGAGCGAAAAGGUCUCCUCUAAUACAGGGGGCUCAUGACGGUACCGUAAGAAUAAGCACCGGCUAACUACGUGCCAGCAGCCGCCGUAA
rnacentral:rRNA from 1 species